GAUGAACGCUGGCGGCGUGCCUAAUACAUGCAAGUCGAGCGAACGGACGAGAAGCUUGCUUCUCUGAUGUUAGCGGCGGACGGGUGAGUAACACGUGGAUAACCUACCUAUAAGACUGGGAUAACUUCGGGAAACCGGAGCUAAUACCGGAUAAUAUUUUGAACCGCAUGGUUCAAAAGUGAAAGACGGUCUUGCUGUCACUUAUAGAUGGAUCCGCGCUGCAUUAGCUAGUUGGUAAGGUAACGGCUUACCAAGGCAACGAUGCAUAGCCGACCUGAGAGGGUGAUCGGCCACACUUGAACUGAGACACGGUCCAGACUCCUACGGGAGGCAGCAGUAGGGAAUCUUCCGCAAUGGGCGAAAGCCUGGCGGAGCAACGCCGCGUGAGUGAUGAAGGUCUUCGGAUCGUAAAACUCUGUUAUUAGGGAAGAACAUAUGUGUAAGUAACUGUGCACAUCUUGACGGUACCUAAUCAGAAAGCCACGGCUAACUACGUG
rnacentral:rRNA from 1 species